CUACGGGUUGCACCAGUAGGGAAUAUUGCGCAAUGGGCGAAAGCCUGACGCAGCAACGCCGCGUGAGUGAGGAAGGUCUUCGGAUUGUAAAGCUCUGUUAAGGUGGAAAAACAGGUUGUGGUCCAACAGGCCAUAAUUUUGAUGGUACACCUAGAGGAAGCACCGGCUAACUUCGUGCCAGCAGCCGCGGUAAUACGAAGGGUGCGAGCGUUGUUCGGAUUUAUUGGGCGUAAAGCGCGCGCAGGCGGAUUAUUAAGUCAGGUGUGAAAUCUCGGGGCUCAACUCCGAAACUGCGCCUGAACUGCUAAUCUAGAAUCUCAGAGGGGGCAGGGGAAUUUCUUAUGUAGGAGUAAAAUCCGUAGAGAUAAGAAGGAACACCAGAGGCGAAGGCGCCUGCCUGGAUGAGUAUUGACGCUGAGGCGCGAAAGCGUGGGGAGCAAACAGGAUUAGAUACCCGAGUAGUC
rnacentral:rRNA from 1 species